GACGAACGCUGGCGGCGUGCUUAACACAUGCAAGUCGAACGGAAAGGCCCUGCUUUUGUGGGGUGCUCGAGUGGCGAACGGGUGAGUAACACGUGCGUAACCUGCCCUUGACUUUGGGAUAACUUGAGGAAAAUGGGGCUAUUACCGGAUAGGAGCUCUUGCUGCAUGGUGGGGGUUGGUAAGAUUCGGCGGUUGGGGCUGGGCUCGCGGCUAAUCAGCUUGUUGGUGGGGUAGUGGAUUACCAUGGCUAUGACGGGUAGCCGGCCUGGGGGGGUGACCGGCCACAUUGGAACUGAGGUACGACCCAGACUCCGACGGGGAGCAACAGUGGGGAAUAUAGCACAAGAGGCGGAAGCCGGAGGCAGCAACGCCGCGUGCUGGAUAACGGCCUUCGAGUGAUAAACCGCUUUCGCCUGUGACGAAGCGUGAGUGACGGUAAUGGGUAAAGAAGCACCGGCUAACUACGUG
rnacentral:rRNA from 1 species